GAUGAACGCUGGCGGCGUGCCUAAUACAUGCAAGUCGAGCGAACAGAUGAGGAGCUUGCUCCUCUGACGUUAGCGGCGGACGGGUGAGUAACACGUGGAUAACCUACCUAUAAGACUGGGAUAACUACGGGAAACCGGCGCUAAUACCGGAUAAUCUAUUGAACCGCAUGGUUCAAUAGUGAAAGACGGUUUUGCUGUCACUUAUAGAUGGAUCCGCGCCGCAUUAGCUAGUUGGUAAGGUAACGGCUUACCAAGGCUACGAUGCGUAGCCGACCUGAGAGGGUGAUCGGCCACAUGGGAACUGAGACACGGUCCAGACGCCUACGGGAGGCAGCAGUAGGGAAUCUUCCGCAAUGGGCGAAAGCCUGACGGAGCAACGCCGCGUGAGUGAUGAAGGUCUUCGGAUCGUAAAACUCUGUUAUUAGGGAAGAACAAAUGUGUAAGUAACUAUGCACGUCUUGACGGUACCUAAUCAGAAAGCCACGGCUAACUACGUG
rnacentral:rRNA from 1 species